rnacentral:lncRNA from 1 species
UAGUAUAUAAAAAGUUUAGUCAAAAAAUUACUCUUUUCAAUCCUACUUAAACUCCAAAACACACAAAAUUUGCAUCCAAUCUGUAUCCAAAAACCUAAAUUUGCUGAUCCUGAUAUCUAAAGCUCUAAUGACUUCAAAAGAGAAAUCCUAAUCCCUAAUAGGACCUCCGGCAACCUCCUUGAAGCCCAUUGGACAUGGCUUUUGACUAAUAGGAAUGAAGAUCUCCAUUCCUUGCCUUCAUCCAACCAUGCCUUAUUUUCAUCCUUCCCAAUAAG